AUGAACGCUGGCGGCGUGCUUAACACAUGCACUUCGAACGAAGCACUUUAGAAUGCUUGCAUUUUAAAGUAACUGAGUGGCGGACGGGUGAGUAACGCGUGGGUAACCUACCUCAUACAGGGGGAUAACAGUUAGAAAUGACUGCUAAUACCGCAUAAGCCUCCGAUAUCGCAUGAUAAAGAAGGAAAAGCUUUUCGGUAUGAGAUGGGCCCGCGUCUGAUUAGCUAGUUGGUGGGGUAAAGGCCUACCAAGGCGACGAUCAGUAGCCGGCUUGAGAGAGUGAACGGCCACAUUGGAACUGAGACACGGUCCAAACUCCUACGGGAGGCAGCAGUGGGGAAUAUUGCACAAUGGGGGAAACCCUGAUGCAGCGACGCCGCGUGAGUGAAGAAGUAUUUCGGUAUGUAAAGCUCUAUCAGCAGGGAAGAAAAUGACGGUACCUGACUAAGAAGCCCCGGCUAACUACGUGCCAGCAGCCGCGGUAAUACGUAGGGGGCAAGCGUUAUCCGGAUUUACUGGGUGUAAAGGGAGCGUAGACGGCAAGGCAAGUCUGAUGUGAAAACCCAGGGCUUAACCCUGGGACUGCAUUGGAAACUGUCUGGCUCGAGUGCCGGAGAGGUAAGCGGAAUUCCUAGUGUAGCGGUGAAAUGCGUAGAUAUUAGGAAGAACACCAGUGGCGAAGGCGGUCUACUGGGCACCAACUGACGCUGAGGCUCGAAAGUGUGGGUAGCAAACAGGAUUAGAUACCCUGGUAGUCCACACCGUAAACGAUGAUUACUAGGUGUUGGAGGAUUGACCCCUUCAGUGCCGCAGUUAACACAAUAAGUAAUCCACCUGGGGAGUACGACCGCAAGGUUGAAACUCAAAGGAAUUGACGGGGGCCCGCACAAGCAGUGGAGUAUGUGGUUUAAUUCGACGCAACGCGAAGAACCUUACCAAGUCUUGACAUCCUGCGACGAUGCUGGAAACAGUAUUUUCCUUCGGGACGCAGAGACAGGUGGUGCAUGGUUGUCGUCAGCUCGUGUCGUGAGAUGUUGGGUUAAGUCCCGCAACGAGCGCAACCCUUACUGUCAGUUACUACGCAAGAGGACUCUGGCAGGACUGCCGUUGACAAAACGGAGGAAGGUGGGGAUGACGUCAAAUCAUCAUGCCCUUUAUGACUUGGGCUACACACGUACUACAAUGGCGUUAAACAAAGAGAAGCAAGACCGCGAGGUGGAGCAAAACUCAGAAACAACGUCCCAGUUCGGACUGCAGGCUGCAACUCGCCUGCACGAAGUCGGAAUUGCUAGUAAUCGUGGAUCAGCAUGCCACGGUGAA
rnacentral:rRNA from 1 species